rnacentral:lncRNA from 1 species
GCCAGCUAGGACAUAUGGAAAUAUAACUCAAUUUUUUGCCUCUAGCCACAGUUGAGACCUCAGUGGUACCAUGGUGCUGUGACACUCAAGGGCAAGAUUACAUCAGCUGAAGAUAUCCUGGUUCCUAGAGAAUCCAGUAAACUGGAAAGAGGGGUAACAGUAUUAUUCUAGCACAGGCCCAAGUACAGGCUGCUAUCUGAUCCAGAAAUUAUCUGCAGCAAUUUUUAUAACUGAAGAAUUGAAAAUGAGAAGGAACCAGAAUCCAGCCACCAGUGCAAGGUAGGAAUCUAUGUGAGGGGGUCAAGUUUGC